rnacentral:rRNA from 1 species
UGGGGAAUAUUGCACAAUGGGCGCAAGCCUGAUGCAGCCAUGCCGCGUGUGUGAAGAAGGCCUUCGGGUUGUAAAGCACUUUCAGCGGGGAGGAAGGCGUUAAGGUUAAUAACCUUGGCGAUUGACGUUACCCGCAGAAGAAGCACCGGCUAACUCCGUGCCAGCAGCCGCGGUAAUACGGAGGGUGCAAGCGUUAAUCGGAAUUACUGGGCGUAAAGCGCACGCAGGCGGUCUGUCAAGUCGGAUGUGAAAUCCCCGGGCUCAACCUGGGAACUGCAUUCGAAACUGGCAGGCUAGAGUCUUGUAGAGGGGUGUAGAAUUCCAGGUGUAGCGAUGAAAUGCGUAGAGAUCUGGAGGAAUACCGGUGGCGAAGGCGGCCCCCUGGACAAAGACUGACGCUCAGGUGCGAAAGCGUGGGGAGCAAACAGG